rnacentral:rRNA from 1 species
AUGGUGCGUAGCGGUAUGAGUCGAGGUAGUAUAGGAAGUACAGGCGGAGGCAAGCGAUAUAAAUAUGGUCCAAGCCUCACGCCUCUUCCACAGAGGGCUUAUGACAGGUCCGAGGAGGAAAUCACAGCCAUAUCCAAGUCCGAGGUGGAAGCCCAUUUUGCACCGAAACCGCCAACACCGCCAAGGGAGAAAGUGCCUGAGGAAACGUUUGACCACUUCAUUCGUAUGGCUCAACCACCAGCUCCCGAGCCUGUUGACACAGACUAUGAGCGCCACAUCAAGAAGUUAAAUCGAGCACGUGUACGUAAGGAGGCGAGCUCGGGAUUGAGCAAACAAGAAGCAGCUGUCAAAAAAUGCGGGAAAACCAUUCCCCAGCUGGGAGAACAGGCGGCGCAAUCGACCCCCUCGCUUGUUGUGCCAACAACACGUGACAGUACGCGCGCCCAAUAUUACUGUGGGCAAACAGUUUACGUUCCUGAGGUGGGCAAUGUGGUAAUAAUGGAGGAGCAUAUAAUGCAGGCUAAAGUUCUCAAAAUCACUGUUGGACAACUCCUCGAGAUCGAGCCCAUGCCUGUGCUUAGAGAGGAUGAAAUAAAACGAAAAUAUGUCUGGGGCCAACCUUUGGUCGAGCCAGACAAGGUCAAGAACCUCCCAACGAGAAUGUAUGAAUUGCAUCAAUGGUACAUGAACAUUACCAAGAUUUCCGAUCGAUUGUCCCUCAUGGUGAAUGUCAAGGAGGAUCAUUACUACCAUGAGAAAGCUAUGUCCGUUGAGUAUUCUGAACUGUUUCAGUUAUACAAUCAAGACGCACUCGACAAAUCUAUCAUCAGUUGCUAUUGUCUGAUGAAGAUGUAUGAAAUGAGAAAAGGUGGACGCUAUGGCAUUGGGUUCAUUGACCCAAACACCGUUAAUGAAUACACAUGGAAAAUAGACGAAUGUCAUCAAAAGGCCGUAGAGGACAGCAUGCUAGAGUUCUUGAAGCGCCUCAAAUACAAUGAAGAUAUACUACUUCCUUACAACUUCCAAUAUCACUAG